UCUGUUUUAUUUGGAAAUACAUUUAUCUGACAAUAAAUAACAUCCGCCAUGACUAGAGCCGAUAAAGGCAAUGAACAGCCCCUUCAGGGCCUUGGGGGCCGUGGUGAGAAGGCUUCAAGAUCGGGUCCCCCUACUCCAAGGGGUACUACCAGCCCUUGAGAAAGAUGAAGAGGAUGUGGGUCAAACCAGUGUGGGGAGGCUUAGAAGAGACAGGAUCAAGGGCCAUGGGCAUGGCUAAAAGUGAAGGAAAUGCCCACGGAGAAACAGAGACCAUAGAAAGGAGUCAGGAGCCUGAGGCUCUUGGCAAAUGGCAGUAAGGAUAACCCCUUUGGCAUGACAGGGUGGAGGCAGAAUAUUUGGCUCUGGAUCCCAGUUUCAGCACAUAAAAGCUGUGUAACCUCAGACAAGUUGCUAACCUCCAUGCCUCCAUUUCCUCACCCAAGAAACAAGAGCGAUAUUAACACCUUCUGCUCAGAGCGGGUGCAAAUAUAUCUAGGAGACGAUGAAAGUACAUGCACUAUGCAAACAAUAGAGAUUCUCAUUUUUCAAAUGAAAAGUAUUUCUCAGGAGUAUAUAGUCAGGAUUCUAGGCCUCCCUGGGAAAAAAUUAAUCUAAGAUAUUAGAGCAGGAUUUGUCCUUGUGUCCAAAGGCUCUGUGCUAAUGAUUUCAACAUGACCACACAGUUUGGCCCAUUUAUUUGUUGACCACAGUCUCACCAGGGCUAGUUCAGCUCUUGCACAAGCCCCAACUGGGAAGAUUCCAUUAGUGUAAACAAAAAAAAUAUUAUGGGGAGUACUUCACUGUGAUCCACAUAUACUUAUUUAAGGCUUUCAGGGUAAGGGAUGAGGAGAGGUGAGGAGGCAGAGGGAUCACAGUAUGAAACCAAGUAGGCAGAACAGAAUAUCGGUAGACAGUAGAAGCUCCGAGUUCAGCGUGCCUCUUUACAUCACUUUCUGACUGUAAACCUAAGGGAUGCUAUUUAACAUUUCUAUCUCAGUUUUCUCAUUUGUAAAAUGGGGACAGUGACAGUACCUGGCUCAUUGGAUUGUGGUGUGAGGAGAUGAGAUGAAGUAUGUGACAUGCUUGGGACAGUAGAUGGCACAUGGAAGCGCUCAAUAAACACUAGCUAUCCUCAAAACACAUGAAAACUACUCGAGAGACGUUUCAUUUGUGGGCACAUGAACUUACUACCAAUUGAGAGUCUGAGUGCUGAGGGUGAGCAGUGAAGGAGCAUGUCAAAUGGUAGGAAUUAAUCAAGAAAUCCUUCCAGGAGGAAAGACAACUUCAACACAGGUUAAAAGAGAAGAGACAGGAUAGCACUGCCUGCAGCUGGACAUGUCCUAGCGUGUUUCCCCAUUAUGCUAGACCCGCAGCCAAGAGGAGCCAAGUAACCCCACAGAAUUACCAGCAAGUCACCAGCAGAUGGAGCCAGCCACCUCCACACACCGCUGCUCAAGGCAGCAGCAACCUCUAAAUGGACCGGCACCCAGCCCAUCUCCAGUCAAGAGCAGAACUGAGGCCGGGCGCGGUGGCUCAAGCCUGUAAUCCCAGCACUUUGGGAGGCCGAGACGGGCGGAUCACGAGGUCAGGAGAUCGAGAGACGAUCCCGGCUAACACGGUGAAACCCCGUCUCUACUAAAAAAUACAAAAAAAUAGCCGGGCGAGGUGGCGGGCGCCUGUAGUCCCAGCUACUCGGGAGGCUGAGGCAGGAGAAGGGCGUGAACCCGGGAGGCGGAGCUUGCAGUGAGCUGAGAUCCGGCCACUGCACUCCAGCCUGGGUGACAGAGCAAGACUCCGUCUCAAAAAAAAAAAAAAAA
rnacentral:lncRNA from 1 species